rnacentral:rRNA from 1 species
GAUGAACGCUAGCGGCAGGCCUAACACAUGCAAGUCGAGGGAGAAGCCCUUUCGGGGGCAGAAACCGGCGCACGGGUGCGUAACGCGUAUGCAACCUACCUUUCACAGGGGGAUAGCCCGAAGAAAUUUGGAUUAAUACCCCAUAAUAUUAUUGGAUGGCAUCAUUUGAUAAUUAAAACUGCGGUGGUGAAAGAUGGGCAUGCGUCCUAUUAGCUAGUUGGAGUGGUAACGGCACCCCAAGGCUACGAUAGGUAGGGGUCCUGAGAGGGAGAUCCCCCACACUGGUACUGAGACAGGGACCAGACUCCUACGGGAGGCAGCAGUGAGGAAUAUUGAUCAAUGGUCGGAAGACUGAACCAGCCAUGCCGCGUGCAGGAAGAAUGCCUUAUGGGUUGUAAACUGCUUUUAUAUGGGAAGAAUAAGGCGUACGUGUACGUUGAUGACGGUACCAUAUGAAUAAGCAGCGGCUAACUCCGUG